UGAGGCUCAUUUUACAGAUUCACCUAAAAACGUCACAGUUUCAGUCAGUCCCUCUGGUCCAGUACCAGAGAACAGCAAUGUGACUCUGACCUGCAGCAGUAAUGCCAACCCAGCAGUAGAAAACUACACCUGGUACAGAGCUGAUGGAGACCAGGAGACUUUUAUUGGGACUGGAAGCUCUUUUAAUGUUACCGUUUCAAAAGUCAAAAGUACAUUUUUCUGCAAGGCUACAAAUGAACUUGGAUUUAAACGAUCAAGCAACCUACAAAUAAAUGUUCAAUAUUCACCUAAAAACGUUACUGUUUCAGUCAGUCCUUCUGGUCCAGUACCAGAGAACCUCAACGUGACUCUAACCUGCAGCAGUAAUGCCAACCCAGCAGUAGAAAACUACACUUGGUACAGUGCAGAUGGAAACCAGGAGACUUUUAUUGGGACAGGAAUGAAUUUAUCUAUUAAAGUCUCCAAAGACAGGCGAAUAUUGUUUUGCAAAGCUGGAAAUGAGAUUGGAGUUGGACGUUCCAGCAGCAUUCAAAUUGAACUUCAGUGUAAAUAUCACAUUUUACAUCUCUUUAACAUGUUCUCUAUCCACAUCUAAUUUGCAUGUACAUUUGUAUAAUAUUACGAUUCAACAACAAAAAAGAAAAGAGAAAGAGGCAGACUAAUUCAAUGACAAAAAUGACCUUUGUUUAGCCAGAGCAGGAGACAAUAUAAACAGAGUACAAUGCCAAGAAUCCAGCAAAUGAGGCAGUUUUUAAGGGUAAUCUUAAAAACUGGCACAAGCACAUCUGGACCAGACAGGACCAGACUGCAGCAAAGGAGAAAGCACUAUAUGCACAAAGGGUAAUCAGUUAAUGAAACACAGGAGGGUCACAAGAUGCUCCCACAAAGAUUCAAGACAGUUAAUGAAGAAGAGACAAGUAAACUUAAGAGCACUACACAAUUAC